GCUUGUUCUCGGGGGGGCGGGGGGGUGAAACUCCCCACCGGCGGUAUGAAGCGAUAGUUUCGAGCCCGCGAGCGCCUGAACACAUGCCGAUUCGGUUAUGGUUCAGGGUCAGCAGAUCCGGUGAGAUGCCGGAGCCGACGGUUAAAGUCCGGAUGGAAGAGAGCGAUU
rnacentral:ncRNA from 2 species